UCCUGCAUCUCUAUGCUU
rnacentral:snRNA from 1 species